rnacentral:rRNA from 1 species
UGGGGAAUAUUGCGCAAUGGGGGAAACCCUGACGCAGCAACGCCGCGUGCGGGAUGAAGGCUUUCGGGUUGUAAACCGCUUUCAGCAGGGAAGAUAAUGACGGUACCUGCAGAAGAAGCCCCGGCUAACUACGUGCCAGCAGCCGCGGUAAUACGUAGGGGGCAAGCGUUAUCCGGAUUCAUUGGGCGUAAAGCGCGCGCAGGCGGGCCGCUAAGCGGGACCUCUAAUCUUGGGGCUCAACCUCAAGCCGGGUCCCGAACUGGCAGCCUCGAGUGCGGUAGGGGUAAGCGGAAUUCCCGGUGUAGCGGUGGAAUGCGCAGAUAUCGGGAAGAACACCGAUGGCGAAGGCAGCUUACUGGGCCGACACUGACGCUGAGGCGCGAAAGCUAGGGGAGCGAACAGGAUUAGAUACCC